UCUUUCACCCUAAGGGAUAGCUUAGUCAGUAGAGCAUGAGACUCUUGAUCUCAGGGUCGUGGGUUUGAGCCCCACAUUGGGAGAA